rnacentral:rRNA from 1 species
GAUGAACGCUGGCGGCGUGCUUAACACAUGCAAGUCGAACGGAAAGGCCCAAGCUUGCUUGGGUACUCGAGUGGCGAACGGGUGAGUAACACGUGGGUGAUCUGCCCUGCACUUCGGGAUAAGCCUGGGAAACUGGGUCUAAUACCGGAUAGGACCACAUUUUGGAUGGUGUGGUGGAAAGUUUUUCGGUGUGGGAUGAGCUCGCGGCCUAUCAGCUUGUUGGUGGGGUAAUGGCCUACCAAGGCGUCGACGGGUAGCCGGCCUGAGAGGGUGUACGGCCACAUUGGAACUGAGAUACGGCCCAGACUCCUACGGGAGGCAGCAGUGGGGAAUAUUGCACAAUGGGCGCAAGCCUGAUGCAGCGAGGCCGCGUGGGGGAUGAAGGCCUUCGGGUUGUAAACUCCUUUCGCUAGGGACGAAGCGUUUUUGUGACGGUACCUGGAGAAGAAGCACCGGCUAACUACGUG